UACGGGGGGAGCAAGCGUUGUUCGGAUUUACUGGGCGUAAAGGGCGCGUAGGCGGCCACCGCAAGUCAGUUGUGAAAGCUCUGGGCUUAACCCAGAAAGGUCAACUGAUACUGCGGGGCUAGAGUGCAGAAGGGGCAACUGGAAUUCCUGGUGUAGCGGUGAAAUGCGCAGAUAUCAGGAGGAACACCGGUGGCGAAGGCGGUUCUCUGGGCAUUACCUGACGCUGAGGAGCGAAAGCGUGGGGAGCAAACAGG
rnacentral:rRNA from 1 species